CAGGCUUAACACAUGCAAGUCGAGGGGCAGCAUGGUCUUAGCUUGCUAAGGUCGAUGGCGACCGGCGCACGGGUGAGUAACGCGUAUCCAACCUGCCUUACACUCUUGGACAGCCUUCUGAAAGGGAGAUUAAUACAAGAUGUUAUCAUGAGUAAGCAUUUUCGCAUGAUUAAAGGUUUACCGGUGUAAGAUGGGGAUGCGUUCCAUUAGAUAGUAGGCGGGGUAACGGCCCACCUAGUCUUCGAUGGAUAGGGGUUCUGAGAGGAAGGUCCCCCACAUUGGAACUGAGACACGGUCCAAACUCCUACGGGAGGCAGCAGUGAGGAAUAUUGGUCAAUGGACGAGAGUCUGAACCAGCCAAGUAGCGUGAAGGAUGAAGGUUCUAUGGAUUGUAAACUUCUUUUAUACGGGAAUAAACGAAUCCACGUGUGGAUUUUUGCAUGUACCGUAUGAAUAAGGAUCGGCUAACUCCGUGCCAGCAGCCGCGGUAAUACGGAGGAUCCGAGCGUUAUCCGGAUUUAUUGGGUUUAAAGGGAGCGUAGAUGGGUUGUUAAGUCAGUUGUGAAAGUUUGCGGCUCAACCGUAAAAUUGCAAUUGAUACUGGCAGUCUUGAGUACAGUUGAGGUAGGCGGAAUUCGUGGUGUAGCGGUGAAAUGCUUAGAUAUCACGAAGAACUCCGAUUGCGAAGGCAGCUUACUAACCUGUAACUGACAUUGAUGCUCGAAAGUGUGGGUAUCAAACAGGAUUAGAUACCCUGGUAGUCCACACGGUAAACGAUGAAUACUCGCUGUAGGCGAUAUACAGUCUGCGGCCAAGCGAAAGCAUUAAGUAUUCCACCUGGGGAGUACGCCGGCAACGGUGAAACUCAAAGGAAUUGACGGGGGCCCGCACAAGCGGAGGAACAUGUGGUUUAAUUCGAUGAUACGCGAGGAACCUUACCCGGGCUUAAAUUGCAACCGAAUAUGGCGGAAACGCUAUAGCUAGCAAUAGCGGUUGUGAAGGUGCUGCAUGGUUGUCGUCAGCUCGUGCCGUGAGGUGUCGGCUUAAGUGCCAUAACGAGCGCAACCCUUGCCGAUAGUUACUAACAGGUCAUGCUGAGGACUCUGUCGGGACUGCCAUCGUAAGAUGUGAGGAAGGUGGGGAUGACGUCAAAUCAGCACGGCCCUUACGUCCGGGGCUACACACGUGUUACAAUGGGGGGUACAGAGGGCUGCUACCACGCAAGUGGAUGCCAAUCCCAAAAACCUCUCUCAGUUCGGAUUGAAGUCUGCAACCCGACUUCAUGAAGCUGGAUUCGCUAGUAAUCGCGCAUCAGCCACGGCGCGGUGAAUACGUUCCCGGGCCUUGUACACACCGCCCGUCAAGCCAUGGGAGCCGGGGGUACCUGAAGUGCGUAACCGCAAGGAGCGCCCUAGGGUAAAACUGGUGACUGGGGCUAAGU
rnacentral:rRNA from 1 species